rnacentral:rRNA from 1 species
GAGUUUGAUCCAUGGCUCAGGACGAACGCUGGCGGCGUGCCUAAUACAUGCAAGUCGAGCGGAUUGAAGGGAGCUUGCUCCCUGAUAUUAGCGGCGGACGGGUGAGUCUCACGUGGGCAACCUGCCCUGCAGAUGGGGAUAACUCCGGGAAACCGGGGCUAAUACCGAAUAAUCGGUUCUUCCGCAUGGAAGAACUCUGAAAGACGGUUUCGGCUGUCACUGCAGGAUGGGCCCGCGGCGCAUUAGCUAGUUGGUGGGGUAAUGGCCUACCAAGGCGACGAUGCGUAGCCGACCUGAGAGGGUGAUCGGCCACACUGGGACUGAGACACGGCCCAGACUCCUACGGGAGGCAGCAGUAGGGAAUCUUCCACAAUGGACGAAAGUCUGAUGGAGCAACGCCGCGUGAGCGAAGAAGCUUUUCGGAUCGUAAAGCUCUGUUGCGAGGGAAGAGCAAGUACGAGAGUA